ACCCACACUGUAUAUGAAGAGAUAAUGGAUUGUUGUCCCGAGAUCUAAUUGCUGAACCAAGAUUCAACACUGUCAUACUGUGUUUCAGCAAUAAAGAAACCUGAUCCAAGAGAUUGUCCGUGGUGAUGUGU